rnacentral:rRNA from 1 species
UACGUAGGUGGCAAGCGUUAUCCGGAAUUAUUGGGCGUAAAGCGCGCGCAGGCGGUCCAUUAAGUCUGAUGUGAAAGCCCACGGCUCAACCGUGGAGGGUCAUUGGAAACUGGGGGACUUGAGUGCAGAAGAGGAGAGCGGAAUUCCACGUGUAGCGGUGAAAUGCGUAGAGAUGUGGAGGAACACCAGUGGCGAAGGCGGCUCUCUGGUCUGUAACUGACGCUGAGGCGCGAAAGCGUGGGGAGCGAACAGG